AGCUCCAAGAGCGUAUAUUAAAGUUGUUGCAGUUAAAAAGCUCGUAGUUGGAUUUCUGGUACAGUGCGCCCGGCCCGCUGCGGUUACGCAUGUGAGUGCCGGUGCGCGCUUGCCAUCCUUCUAGAGAACGUUUCUACCCUUCGCUGGGCCGGACUCGCGAUCUAGAUCUUUUACUUUGAAAAAAUUAGAGUGUUUAAAGCAGGCUUUUGCUAUGAAUACAUUAGCAUGGAAUAAUAAUCUAGGACUUCGGUUCUAUUUUGUUGGUUUCUAGUACUGAAGUAAUGAUUGAUAGGGAUAGUUGGGGGUGCUAGUAUUGGCCGGCCAGAGGUGAAAUUCUUGGAUUCGGUCAAGACUAACUUAUGCGAAAGCAUUCACCAAGGAUGUCUUCUUUAAUCAAGAA
rnacentral:rRNA from 1 species